AGGGAAACUGAGGCUAAUACCCCAUAGAUAUUCAAUGCUGGAAGGCUUGGAUAUUGAAAGCGCAAGCGCCAGAGGGUGAGUCUGCGGCCUAUCAGGUAGUAGGUGGUGUAACGGACCACCUAGCCUAAGACGGGUACGGGCCUUGAGAGAGGGAGCCCGGAGAUGGGUUCUGAGACACGAACCCAGGCCCUACGGGGCGCAGCAGGCGCGAAACCUUCGCACUGCGCGAAAGCGCGACGAGGGGAACCCGAGUGCCUCUCCAUUUCGGGGAGGCUUUUCACAAGCCUAAAAAGCUUGUGGAAUAAGGGCUGGGCAAGACGGGUGCCAGCCGCCGCGGUAAUACCCGCAGCUCGAGUGGUGGUCGCUUUUAUUGAGCCUAAAACGUUCGUAGUCGGCCUUGUAAAUCCCUGGGUAAAUUGGGCCGCUUAACGGUUCAAAUUCCGGGGAGACUGCAAGGCUAGGGACCGGGCGAGGUCAGAGGUACUUUCGGGGUAGGAGUGAAAUCCUGUAAUCCCGAAGGGACCACCUGUGGCGAAAGCGUCUGACUUGAACGGCUCCGACGAUGGGGAACGAAGGCUAGGGGAGCAAACCGGAUUAGAUACCCGGGUAGUCCUAGCUGUAAACUCUGCCCGCUUGGUGUGGCCUGUCCUUCGGGGGCAGGCCGUGCCGGAGCGAAGGUGUUAAGCGGGCUGCUUGGGGAGCACGGCCGCAAGGUUGAAACUUAAAGGAAUUGGCGGGGGAGCACCGCAACGGGAGGAUGCGUGCGGUUUAAUUGGAUUCAACGCCGGAAAACUCACCUGAGGAGACCAGCGUAUGUGGGUCAAGCCGAAGACUUUACCCGAACAACAGCUGGAGAGGUGGUGCAUGGCCAUCGUCAGCUCGUACCGUAGGGCAUUCACUUAAGUGUGAUAACGAGCGAGACCCCCAUCCCUAGUUGCUAACCCCUCCGAAAGGAGGGGUGCACUCUAGGGAGACCGCUUCCGCUAAGGAAGAGGAAGGAGGGGUCGACGGUAGGUCAGUAUGCCCCGAAUCCUCAGGGCAACACGCGCGCUACAAAGGACGGGACAAUGGGUUCCAACCCCGAAAGGGGAAGGUAAUCCCGAAACCUGUUCGUAGU
rnacentral:rRNA from 1 species